rnacentral:tRNA from 1 species
GCCAGGGUGGCGGAAUUGGUAGACGCUAGAGGCUUAAACCCUCUUGGGAGCAAUCCCGUGUGGGUUCGACUCCCACCCCUGGCA